GCAUUAGUAGCUCAGUGUUACAGAGCGUCGACCUUGUAAGUCGAACGCCGGAGGUUUAAUUCCUCCCUAUUGUA
rnacentral:tRNA from 1 species